rnacentral:rRNA from 1 species
CACGUAGGGCGCAAGCGUUGUCCGGAAUUAUUGGGCGUAAAGAGCUCGUAGGCGGUGUGUCGCGUCGGCCGUGAAAACCUGUGGCUUAACCAUGGGCUUGCGGUCGAUACGGGCAUCACUGGAGUUCGGUAGGGGAGUGGGGAAUUCCUAGUGUAGCGGUGAAAUGCGCAGAUAUUAGGAGGAACACCGGUGGCGAAGGCGCCACUCUGGGCCGAAACUGACGCUGAGGAGCGAAAGCAUGGGUAGCAAACAGG